rnacentral:misc_RNA from 1 species
UAGAGUUAUCACAACUCCAAACCCAUGUGAACUUACCACUGUUGCCUCGGCGGGUUCCAGGGCCUCUCUCGGGAGCUCUGGGCUCAAGCCCGCCGGUGGUUUUUACAAACUCUUUGUAUUAAUUUGCAAUCUGAGCGUACUUUUAAAUAAGUCA